GGGCAUGUACCGGCUUCGACGCGGAGAUGAGGUGGCAGUUUAAGCACGUAGCAGGCUCGUCUGCUUAUCAACGGAACCGUUCUAAAUAAAGGACAACAAUCAAUCUUUUGCGAUGGCUGCUUAAGCCAUCUGUCGACUCGGCGGACCUACGACGCCGAAAUCGGCAUCAUUAUAGUAGGGAACGACAUCUAUGCGUCGCCGCGCGCAUAGGGUUGUAAGCUGCGGCUCGGAACGCUGUGGCCCGCUUACGGGCAGCCGCGAACGACAACGUACGUAAGCUAAACGUGUAGAAAAAGCUGUGGUCUCCUCCACGGACCGGGGUUCAACUCCCCGCAUGUCCACCA
rnacentral:tmRNA from 1 species